UACGGAGGGGGCUAGCGUUGUUCGGAAUUACUGGGCGUAAAGCGUGCGCAGGCGGUUUUGUAAGUCUGACGUGAAAUCCCCGGGCUCAACCUGGGAAUUGCGUUGGAGACUGCAAGGCUAGAAUCUGGCAGAGGGGGGUAGAAUUCCACGUGUAGCAGUGAAAUGCGUAGAGAUGUGGAGGAACACCGAUGGCGAAGGCAGCCCCCUGGGUCAAGAUUGACGCUCAUGCACGAAAGCGUGGGGAGCAAACAGG
rnacentral:rRNA from 1 species